CGAUUAUUUAUAAUAAUAAAAAACAGCUAAACAAUUAAACAAUUGUUUAUAGUACAAUAUCCAAGCGUCUUUAUUUUGUUGAAGCAAACAUAAUAUUAACUAUUAUUUCAGGAUCGAUAGCGCGUAUGUCUACCGUGCGUGUAAUCUAUUUAUCAGAGCUAAACCAUUUAGUCUUGUGUCGCCCGUACAGUUCCUUAAAUAACAAGGCCGUUUAUCCGUUUUAGAGUGGAAAACCUUCUUUCGGCUGGUGCGGUUGACGCUGCGGGUAAUAUUAGAUAACAUUUGAAGAAAAAAAAAAAACAUUUGUGUUUGGGAACAAUAAUUCUCCCGGACACUUCGGUUAUAACGGUGUUGCGUCACCCGCGGAAUUUCCGGACCGGAACCAUACGGCUGGCGCGGCGUAAACAUUUCCAAUGUACGAACACGAUUAUUGUCCGCUGUCGCGCGCGUGAAAUGUCGUCGAACAAAAAUCGUACAACUGCCUAGCCCGCGGCCCGAAAGUAUCGGUAUAUUAUUAGCGGCUCCGCGGUGUCGUUUUCGAGUCCGUCGCGUCGCGCGCACACAUUUUACAAUAGCGGCGCACGCGCGAUCCCGCGCGACACAUAUAAGCGUUUCGCACAUUAUUCUGUUUGUUUUACCGGCGCUGUUUGUUUUGUCGUUCGCCGUCGACCAUAACACAGCAACGGUGCUAAUAAUAUUACCGCCGGACGAGGUCGUCUCCGUCGGAAUAACGUC